CUCCUGAGAUACCUCUCUCUUAUGAUGUUAAUGGAGCGACUAUAUUCAUCAUUGUGAUUGGAAUCAUCCUGGGAUUUAUCAACAGGAAAACUUGCCUCGGAGAGGAAAUCGAACACAUGACCACAGCACUGUACACGGAAGUGGAAUAUACCGAGUGAGACGGGGCUUAAAGUUUUACAUAUGUUUAAUUUCUU